rnacentral:rRNA from 1 species
ACGGGAGGCAGCAGUAGGGAAUUUUCGGCAAUGGGGGAAACCCUGACCGAGCAACGCCGCGUGAAUGAUGAAGUACUUCGGUAUGUAAAAUUCUUUUAUAAGGGACGAACUGUGAGAGUAGGAAAUGACUUUCAUUUGACUGUACCUUUUGAAUAAGCCCCGGCUAACUACGUGCCAGCAGCCGCGGUAAUACGUAGGGGGCAAGCGUUAUCCGGAAUUAUUGGGCGUAAAGGGUGCGUAGGCGGUUUGUGAAGAGUGAGGUGAAAGUGCGGGGCUCAACCCCGUGAUGCCGUGAUUACUGGCAGACUAGAGUAUGGUAGAGGUGAGUGGAACUCCAUGUGUAGCGGUAAAAUGCGUAAAUAUAUGGAAGAACACCAGUGGCGAAGGCGGCUCACUAGGCCAAAACUGGCGCUGAGGCACGAAAGCGUGGGGAGCAAACAGGAUUAGAUACCCUGGUA